AGUGCUGGGAAACAGUGCUAAGAAGGAUACAGUGGCUAGAAGUCGUCCUGUCGUCCUGCCUCACAGUAACAUCGUUACCGAAUUCUCAGCAGGUGAACCAAAUGAAAUGGUCAACUGAAAGCCAACCAGGGGUCUUGUCCUGUCACUCUGGCUGGAAUACAAUGGCGUAAUCAUAGCUCACUGCGGCCUCCAUCUCCUGGGUUCAAGUGAUUCUCCUGCUUCAGCUUCCCAAGUAUCUGGGACUACAGCAAAAAAUCACCAUGUACCAACCUAUCCAAACUUAUCCAUGGAUGAAUCUAUCCAGAAGACGGGAGUUCCGAUGCUUGUCUUGCUCUGAAUGUCUGCUUGUCACCUGCUUAGGGUUAUCGACUGUGAUUCUGGGACUCAUUGUUGUU
rnacentral:lncRNA from 10 species